rnacentral:lncRNA from 1 species
GUUCAAUCUCACCGACAGAAAUGUAAAAUGAGGCAACCAGGAGGAAGUGACAUAUACAUUUUCUUACAAAGACAGAAAAGAUUCAAUCUGAUGAAACAUUAGUUCAUUGGGCUGACUGACAGAGAGCAGCAUGUCUGGUUUCAGAUGGAUUUCACUGUUUCUGAUGCUGAUUCAUUUACCAGUCAUAACUGGACAAUAUAUCCGCUUCACUGUCAGGAUAGGAGGUGAUGUCAAGUUGCCUUGUGGAAAAGUGAUACAGGAGCAGGAUAAAUGCGACCGCACUACCUGGAGCUUCCGUCAUUUUACCAGCGCAUCAGUGAAUCUCGUUCGUUUUGGGCGGGUUCUGGAAACAGCCAUAGCUAAAUCCGACAGACUGAGUGUCACAGAGAACUGUUCUCUGGUUGUUACGAAGGUGACAGUCGAGGAUGGUGGUCUCUACACCUGCAGACAGUUGGAAUCAGGAAAACAUAAAGACACUCACGUUCACCUGUUCGUCAUUAUCAGUGAGUAUUUACAUCACAUUACAGUGAUGAAGUUUUUGUUUUGGCUGUUAUUGAUUUUAAUGAUAUCUACGUUGUUACCAGUGAGUGAACGUCAGGAGGCUGAUAAAGUUACAUUAAACUGCUCUGUGUCGACUCCUGGAUGGUGUGACCAGACACUGAAGUGGCUGUAUGAGGACGCCUAUGUGGAUAAAUACAACAAAGACAUGAAGAUUUCAGGGUCCGGGUGCUCGGUGACCGUGACAUUUGCUUCCUCUUUCCUGAAGCGUCAUCGGUCGUUCAAAUGUGAAUUGACAGAUAUUUACAGCACAGCAAAGGAGCAGUUUCCAUUCAGCCGUCAGUCCUCAGGUGAGAUCACGAUGAGCUUACAGUGCCUGUUUUGGUGGACAAUCAUGGACGGAGAUGGUUUGACUUCCUGCGAAAAGUAGCGGGAAACAGCUGGCAGUACUGUUUAGCAGUGAAUGUUUCUGCAAACGACAGACACGUCCAAGGUUGUCAUUUGUACCAAAUGCAUAAGGAAUAUCACCUUGACAUUACACGAUUAUUGGUGAGUUAAAUUCAGGUUAAUUUCAGAGUCAUUCACAGCUGGUUUUUGAGGCAUCAAAGUCAGCUUCUUCUUUUUUUUUUUUUUUUUUUUUGAGGAGCCACAGAGACAUUUUCAUCCAUUUUUGUGGCAUCAAAAAUUGGCUGUUAUACGUAGAAAGAUGGACCAUCUCCUUCCUUGACCAAAACAAGCAUUUAAAGCCAAACCGUGAUGUUUUCCUAACCCUAACCAAGUGGUUUUUGUGCCUAAACCAAACCAGAGCAUAAACACAGCAUUGUGAAUGUUCAACCUAGAUAAACAGAAAGUUGCAGCAUAAAGCGAUAUUCAGUUUUACCUUAUCAAUGGUUUUAUCGAAAUGUACGUGGCUUACAUUUAUCCUGGCAAUUGGGUGUCCUUAUUGAUACACAGGGAUGUAACUGCAGUCCGCAGCCUUGCAGGAUGUAAAAGUUGACUAAUUAGCAUAUACUGUGAAUGCAAUGUGCUACAUUUUGCACAGUUGAACCUUGGAUGUAUCUGCGGUUUGCAGUGACCUUCACUGCUAACGUUAUAUCCUGGUGACGGGGCUGUGUUGGUUUUUGUCUUUUAAUUUGUCAGGCGAAGAUGCAACAACAACCAGAUCGAAAUCAACAGCGGAACCAACAAGAAAGACCUCAGCAACGUCAACGUCGACAGCAGGACAGACAACAACACCAACGUCAUCAACUUCAACACAAGGAGGCGAGAAACAAACAAGAUUAUUCAUGUUUCAAGAGUAGUUCAUACACAUUUGUACAAUAGUGCAGAUUUGGUUAAAAAUGUGGAUUUGCAACAUUUACCAAUGUUUUUGUUUUCCCAUCACCCAACACUCCCACACUGUUUUGAAAACUACUGUGUUUCC